rnacentral:rRNA from 1 species
UAGCCGUAAACGAUACUCGCUAGGUGUCGGCCACGGUGCGACCGUUGUCGGUGCCGUAGGGAAGCCGUGAAGCGAGCCACCUGGGAAGUACGGCCGCAAGGCUGAAACUUAAAGGAAUUGGCGGGGGAGCACAACAACGGGUGGAGCUUGCGGUUUAAUUGGAUUCAACGCCGGAAAUCUUACCGGGACCGACAGCAACAUGAAGGCCAAGCUGAAGACUUUGCCGGAUUAGCUGAGAGGAGGUGCAUGGCGUAGU